CCCCGUUUCUCCUGGAAGCAGAGAGGCUCGCCCCGACUCGCUCAGGCUGUCUGCACCUCUCCCCGUAUCCUGCUCCAAAGUGUGAAAGUGAAUUCAGAUAUUUGACCUCAUGAACACGGUCUCACCUGCUUCCACGGUCGUGGUUCUUAGUGGUCUGUUGAACAGGCACAACCGCAGCGCUGUGAGAGAACACAGAGAGGCGAAAAAAAACAAGCCGAACCUUCAGCGCUUCACUUCUCUUUUCUGAGCAGACAGAAGCGCGGUGACGAUGGCGGCCCAGGAUCUUGACGCCACAAUUGACGAGUGCGCACACGAGCUCCGUGAGGUCGGCGACGGCCUUUACUGGAGAUUCAGGCUGCUGCAAAUACUCAUCAGGAACUACAAGACCGUAAAUAACAUCAAGUGAGACGGGGCGCCAAGGGCGGACGUGGAAGAGGGAAAUUGGAUUUUUAUUAAACUGGAUGGCAUUCAGAAACGCCGGGGACUCUCGGGGGGGGGGGGCCCUCGACGCCGGAGGCCACAGCGGCGGGGAGGAAGCUGGUGGAAACACCUGGACGGAGACCCCGAGACGCGACCUGUCGGCGGAGCGAGGUCGGCCUGCACCCCGGAGCUUUGCACAGAGAGAGAGUGUGUGUGCGCGCGGCGGGACGCCGGGGAGACCCUCGGGUGAGCGGAUCCGAAGAUGGGACACCGGAUGUCCUCUGCUGAAACACGUGUGCUGUAGACAUGUACGCUGUACAUAUAUGUGAAUGUUUCUGCUCAGAUUGUCGCAUUCAUGUCAGCUGUCGAAUGGAGACUCAGACGCGUGAACUUCCAACUUUGGUGUUGAAUGUUAGCUACGAAUAGUUUGGAUUAUGAGAGGGGGGGGUAAGCCUUUUUCUACAUAACAGACUUCUGCGAUACGUUGUGAUGUAAAGUCAAUACAUGUGGGAACACGGCGUCCGAAACACGGGGAACUAGUCAGUGGAAAGAUGUAAAUCCUGUUUGCUCGUUUAAUAAAAACAAAGUGAGUCGUGCCUCCUCUGCCUGUCGCUGUGUCUGCUGUUCUCUCCUCCGCCGUGAUCUGAACGUAACGCCGUUGCAUUAAUCAAUAACACGCACAGAAGCGACGUUAUUGCUUUAUUAAAUUGAUAUAUUUGAAUGUCUGUUUUUGAAAAUAAUUGCGAUCUUCCGAACUCAUGCGUGUAUCACUCUCUAGUUCACACGCGCACAUAAUGUGGAUGCAACUACACAAACAACUUCAUAGCUCACCAUGUGACCGACACCCUAAAUAUGUAGAAUUAUGUCCUAAAUGACUACGAACCUGUAAAUAUACAUUUAUUGCACAUUCCAUGUUGGGAUUAAGUGUGGAAUUCAUGCAAUUUCAUUGAACAAAAUAAUUCAAAGUAAACAAAUCUUAUUAUAAUGAAUAUAUAAAUAAAUAUCUAAUAUUAAGAUAGCUUGAUAAAAACAAGCAGGGUUGCUGUAUUCAUGAGAAAUGGGGAUUGUGACACCAUGGACAGGGAUCUUCCUGCGUGAACAUUGCUCCACACUAAUCUACAAUCGGACGUUUGAGAAGUCAUGUGAUUUUAACUGUGUGCAUUCACCGCGUUACGGCAAAUCCACCCGGCUGAUCGCUGAUGCUGGGAAGUGAAUAAGCAUAUCUCUCAAAGCUCUAAACAAUUCACAUCAGUAUGAGGAAACGUCCUCAAAAAAGUCCAAAAAUAGUCACACUACUACAGUGACGGCAAAAAGGCAAAACUUCAACCUAAAAAAGAAAAAAAGCACGUUUGAUGUGUGCUUAAUAAAUUUAAAUAAAACCAGUUUUCUGACUGAUCCAACUCAGCACGAACCUGAUAAAACAAAAGACAAAGCACCUAACGCUCUGAUAUAAUGGUACAUUUAAGUAUUCAACAGAUCAAAUCAAUACAAAAC
ensembl:lncRNA